UGGGGAAUAUUGGACAAUGGGCGCAAGCCUGAUCCAGCCAUGCCGCGUGAGUGAUGAAGGCCCUAGGGUUGUAAAGCUCUUUCACCGGUGAAGAUAAUGACGGUAACCGGAGAAGAAGCCCCGGCUAACUUCGUGCCAGCAGCCGCGGUAAUACGAAGGGGGCUAGCGUUGUUCGGAUUUACUGGGCGUAAAGCUCACGUAGGCGGACUUUUAAGUCAGGGGUGAAAUCACGGGGCUCAACCCCGGAACUGCCAUUGAUACUGGAAGUCUUGAGUAUGGUAGAGGUGAGUGGAAUUCCGAGUGUAGAGGUGAAAUUCGUAGAUAUUCGGAGGAACACCAGUGGUGAAGGCGGCUCACUGGACCAUUACUGACGCUGAGGUGCGAAAGCGUGGGGAGCAAACAGG
rnacentral:rRNA from 1 species